ACUCAAAUGAAUAGACGGGGGCCCGCACAAGCGGUGGAUCAUGUGGUUUAAUUCGAUGCAACGCGAAAAACCUUACCUGCCCUUGACAUCCAGAGAACCCUGUAGAGAUAUGGGGGUGCCUUCGGGAACUCUGAGACAGGUGCUGCAUGGCUGUCGUCAGCUCGUGUCGUGAGAUGUUGGGUUAAGUCCCUUAACGAGCGCAACCCUUGCCCCUAAUUGCCAGCGAGUAAAGUCGGGAACUUUAGGGGGACUGCCAGUGACAAACUGGAGGAAGGUGGGGAUGACGUCAAGUCAUCAUGGGCCUUAUGGGCAGGGCUACACACGUGAUACAAUGGGGCGCACAGAGGGAAGCCAACCCGCGAGGGGGAGCGAAUCUCAGAAAACGUCUCGUAGUCCGGAUUGGAGUCUGCAACUCGACUCCAUGAAGUUGGAAUCGCUAGUAAUCGCGGAUCAGAACGCCGCGGUGAAUACGUUCCCGGGCCUUGUACACACCGCCCGU
rnacentral:rRNA from 1 species